AGGUUGUGUUAUGAGCAAUUUCUGAGUAACCCCUUGUACCUCUCCCAAGCUUCAUACAAAGACUCUCCACCUUGUUGUUUGAAAUUAGCUAUGUUUUUCUUCAACUU